UUAAUUGAAAUAGAUCAUAUAAAGGUGCGUCCACAUUUGUAUCAUUUGCGCGAUCAGAUCUCCGUCGCGAUCAUCGCGCCGUAUCAAGAGUGUGGACGACUAUUAGAUCAUUCUGCCGAUCAUGCGCGUAUUUGAUACGACACGUACCAGAUACGCGGUUA